GUCCAGGGGCGGGAAUCGAACCCACAUGGCAUCUGCCCGGUAAGCGGAAGGUCGUGGGUUCGAUUCCCGCCCCUGGACA